rnacentral:rRNA from 1 species
AACGAACGCUGGCGGCAGGCCUAACACAUGCAAGUCGAGCGAGGACUUCGGUCCUAGCGGCGGACGGGUGAGUAACGCGUGGGAACGUGCCCUUUGCUUCGGAAUAGCCCUGGGAAACUGGGAGUAAUACCGGAUGAGCCCUUUGGGGAAAAGAUUUAUCGGCGAAGGAUCGGCCCGCGUUGGAUUAGGUAGUUGGUGGGGUAAUGGCCUACCAAGCCGACGAUCCAUAGCUGGUUUGAGAGGAUGAUCAGCCACACUGGGACUGAGACACGGCCCAGACUCCUACGGGAGGCAGCAGUGGGGAAUCUUAGACAAUGGGGGAAACCCUGAUCUAGCCAUGCCGCGUGAGCGAUGAAGGCCUUAGGGUUGUAAAGCUCUUUCAGCUGGGAAGAUAAUGACGGUACCAGCAGAAGAAGCCCCGGCUAACUCCGUG